GCCACAAUAGCUCAGUUGGUAGAGUAACGCGUUCGUAACGCGUCGGUCGCGAGUUCGACUCUCGCUUGUGGCUC
rnacentral:tRNA from 1 species